rnacentral:rRNA from 1 species
AUACGGAGGGGGUUAGCGUUGUUCGGAAUUACUGGGCGUAAAGCGCGCGUAGGCGGCUUAUCAAGUUAGGCGUGAAAGGCCUGGGCUCAACCCGGGAACUGCGCUUAAUACUGGUAGACUUGAGUCCGGGAGAGGGUGGCGGAAUUCCCAGUGUAGAGGUGAAAUUCGUAGAUAUUGGGAAGAACACCAGUGGCGAAGGCGGCUUUCUGGACCAAUACUGACGCUGAGGUGCGAAAGCGUGGGGAGCAAACAGAAUUAGAAACCCCAGUAGUCC